CUCUCAUCCUCUCUCUCUCUCUCUCUCUCUCUCUCUCUCUCUGUGUUCCGUCUGUCUGUCUUUUAUAUUCUCUUCACCAACUCGGCUCGAUUGGGAGCAAUCAACUUCUUCGAUUUUUUUCCUGUACGAAUCCCCCAGAAGAUAGAUAUAGCUAUGGCUACAUCAAGGUUCCAAGCGUUCUUGAACAGUCCGAUUGGCCCUAAAACCACUCAUUUCUGGGGGCCUAUUGCUAACUGGGGUUUUGUUGCUGCCGGUUUGGUGGAUAUGCAGAAGCC